UGGAUAUCCUUUUUUUUUUUUUUUUUUUUAAUUUCCUUUCUUGUUUUUAAUUUUGUUUUGGUUGCUGAAAUGAAAUAGUUUUCUAACCCCUCCCCCACCCUGGUUUUUCAUAAUCACUCGGAUUUCCAGCUGGAUAGUCUUUGAGGAUACAACGAUUCAAACUCCAGAAGGAC
rnacentral:lncRNA from 1 species